rnacentral:rRNA from 1 species
CUACGGGAUGCACCAGUGGGGAAUAUUGCACAAUGGGCGCAAGCCUGAUGCAGCAACGCCGCGUGAGGGAUGAAGGCCUUCGGGUUGUAAACCUCUUUUAGCAGGGAAGAAGCGAAAGUGACGGUACCUGCAGAAAAAGCACCGGCUAACUACGUGCCAGCAGCCGCGGUAAUACGUAGGGUGCAAGCGUUGUCCGGAAUUAUUGGGAGUAAAGAGCUCGUUGGCGGUUUGUCACGUCUGCUGUGAAAAUCCAAGGCUCAACCUUGGACUUGCAGUGGGUACGGGCAGGCUAGAGGUGCGGUAGGGGAGAUGGGAAUUCCUGGUGUAGCGGUGGAAUGCGCAGAUAUCAGGAGGAACACCAAUGGCGAAGGCACAUCUCUGGGCCGUAACUGACGCUGAGGAGCGAAAGCGUGGGGAGCGAACAGGAUUAGAUACCCGUGUAGUC